GAUGAACGCUGGCGGCGUGCCUAAUACAUGCAGGUCGAGCGAACAGACGAGGAGCUUGCUACUCUGACGUUAGCGGCGGACGGGUGAGUAACACGUGGAUAACCUACCUAUAAGACUGGGAUAACUUCGGGAAACCGGAGCUAAUACCGGAUAAUAUAUUGAACCGCAUGGUUCAAUAGUGAAAGACGGUUUUGCUGUCACUUAUAGAUGGAUCCGCGCCGCAUUAGCUAGUUGGUAAGGUAACGGCUUACCAAGGCAACGAUGCGUAGCCGACCUGAGAGGGUGAUCGGCCACACUGGAACUGAGACACGGUCCAGACUCCUACGGGAGGCAGCAGUAGGGAAUCUUCCGCAAUGGGCGAAAGCCUGACGGAGCAACGCCGCGUGAGUGAUGAAGGUCUUCGGAUCGUAAAACUCUGUUAUUAGGGAAGAACAAAUGUGUAAGUAACUAUGCACGUCUUGACGGUACCUAAUCAGAAAGCCACGGCUAACUACGUG
rnacentral:rRNA from 1 species